rnacentral:rRNA from 1 species
CCUACGGGGGGCUGCAGUGAGGAAUAUUGGUCAAUGGACGAGAGUCUGAACCAGCCAAGUAGCGUGAAGGAUGACUGCCCUAUGGGUUGUAAACUUCUUUUAUAUGGGAAUAAAAUGUUCCACGUGUGGGAUUUUGUAUGUACCAUAUGAAUAAGGAUCGGCUAACUCCGUGCCAGCAGCCGCGGUAAUACGGAGGAUCCGAUCGUUAUCCGGAUUUAUUGGGUUUAAAGGGAGCGUAGGUGGAUUGUUAAGUCAGUUGUGAAAGUUUGCGGCUCAACCGUAAAAUUGCAGUUGAAACUGGCAGUCUUGAGUACAGUAGAGGUGGGCGGAAUUCGUGGUGUAGCGGUGAAAUGCUUAGAUAUCACGAAGAACUCCGAUUGCGAAGGCAGUUCACUGGACUGCAACUGACACUGAGGCUCGAAAGUGUGGGUAUCAAACAGGAUUAGAUACCCUUGUAGUC